ACCUCUGGUGUAUGGGUUGUGGUACCAACUGCAUUGCCCAGUAGCUAUGUGCGGGAUAGAUAAGCGCUGAAAGCAUAUUAAGCGCGAAACUAGCCUCAAGAUUAGUUUUCCCUAUGAGAUCCCUGAAAGACCAUCAGGUUGAUAGGCGCAAGGUGGAAGCAUGGUGACAUGUGUAGCUGACGCGUACUAAUAGAUCCAUCGGUUUUUUAUG
rnacentral:rRNA from 1 species